rnacentral:rRNA from 2 species
UCGGCAACGGAUAUCUCGGCUCUCGCAUCGAUGAAGAACGUAGCGAAAUGCGAUACUUGGUGUGAAUUGCAGAAUCCGUGAACCAUCGAGUCUUUGAACGCAAGUUGCGCCCGAAGCCACUAGGCCGAGGGCACGUCUGCCUGGGCGUCAC